rnacentral:tRNA from 1 species
CCGUCCAUAACUCAGCUGGAUUAGAGUAACGCACUUCUAAUGCGUAAGUCGGGGGUUCAAGUCCCUCUGGGCGGGCCA